rfam:Gonapodya prolifera JEL478 unplaced genomic scaffold M427scaffold_58, whole genome shotgun sequence.
GAGGUGUUAGCUCAACUUGGCAGAGCAUCUGAUUCCAGAUCUGUAAGGCUCAGGGUUCAAGUCCCUCACUCCUCA